rnacentral:rRNA from 1 species
AUACGUAGGGGGCGAGCGUUGUCCGGAAUUACUGGGCGUAAAGGGUUCGCAGGCGGUCUAGCAAGUCUGGUGUAAAAGGCAAGGGCUCAACCCUUGUAAGCAUUGGAAACUGUUGGACUUGAGUAAAGGCGAGGUAAGUGGAAUUCCUAGUGUAGCGGUGGAAUGCGUAGAUAUUAGGAGGAAUACCAGUGGCGAAGGCGACUUACUGGACUUUAACUGACGCUGAGGAACGAAAGCGUGGGGAGCAAACAGGAUUAGAUACCCUGGUAGUCCACGCCGUAAACGAUGAGUGCUAGGUGUCGGGUGUCAAAGCUCGGUGCCGGCGUUAACACAAUAAGCACUCCGCCUGGGGAGUACGUGCGCAAGCAUGAAACUCAAAUGAAUUGACGGGG